GACGAACGCUGGCGGCGUGCCUAAUACAUGCAAGUCGAGCGCAGGAAAUCGACGGAACCCUUCGGGGGGAAGUCGACGGAAUGAGCGGCGGACGGGUGAGUAACACGUAAAGAACCUGCCCUCAGGUCUGGGAUAACCACGAGAAAUCGGGGCUAAUACCGGAUGGGUCAUCGGACCGCAUGGUCCGAGGAUGAAAGGCGCUUCGGCGUCGCCUGGGGAUGGCUUUGCGGUGCAUUAGCUAGUUGGUGGGGUAAUGGCCCACCAAGGCGACGAUGCAUAGCCGACCUGAGGGCGUGAUCGGCCACACUUGGACUGAGCCACGGCCCAGACUCCUACGGGAGGCAGCAGUAGGGAAUCUUCCACAAUGGACGAAAGUCUGAUGGAGCAACGCCGCGUGAACGAUGAAGGCCUUCGGGUCGUAAAGUUCUGUUGUAAGGGAAGAACAAGUGCCGCAGGCAAUGGCGGCACCUUGACGGUACCUUGCGAGAAAGCCACGGCUAACUACGUGCCAGCAGCCGCGGUAAAAC
rnacentral:rRNA from 1 species